AUCUAGCUGACGAGUUUCAACUAGGACGAAACACAUGUCCUGGAU
rfam:Schistosoma mattheei strain Denwood, Zambia genome assembly, scaffold: SMTD_scaffold0008100